rnacentral:tRNA from 1 species
GGGGAUUUAGCUCAGUGGUAGAGCGCUUGCCUAGCAAGCGCAAUGGGUUCAGUCCCCA